rnacentral:rRNA from 1 species
CUGCGCGGAAGAUGUAACGGGGCUAAACCAUGCACCGAAGCUGCGGCAGCGACACUAUGUGUUGUUGGGUAGGGGAGCGUUCUGUAAGCCUGUGAAGGUGUGCUGUGAGGUAUGCUGGAGGUAUCAGAAGUGCGAAUGCUGACAUAAGUAACGAUAAAGCGGGUGAAAAGCCCGCUCGCCGGAAGACCAAGGGUUCCUGUCCAACGUUAAUCGGGGCAGGGUGAGUCGACCCCUAAGGCGAGGCCGAAAGGCGUAGUCGAUGGGAAACAGGUUAAUAUUCCUGUACUUGGUGUUACUGCGAAGGGGGGACGGAGAAGGCUAUGUUGGCCGGGCGACGGUUGUCCCGGUUUAAGCGUGUAGGCUGGUUUUCCAGGCAAAUCCGGAAAAUCAAGGCUGAGGCGUGAUGACGAGGCACUACGGUGCUGAAGUAACAAAUGCCCUGCUUCCAGGAAAAGCCUCUAAGCAUCAGGUAACAUCAAAUCGUACCCCAAACCGACACAGGUGGUCAGGUAGAGAAUACCAAGGCGCUUGAGAGAACUCGGGUGAAGGAACUAGGCAAAAUGGUGCCGUAACUUCGGGAGAAGGCACGCUGAUAUGUAGGUGAAGUCCCUUGCGGAUGGAGCUGAAAUCAGUCGAAGAUACCAGCUGGCUGCAACUGUUUAUUAAAAACACAGCACUGUGCAAACACGAAAGUGGACGUAUACGGUGUGACGCCUGCCCGGUGCCGGAAGGUUAAUUGAUGGGGUUAGCGGUAACGCGAAGCUCUUGAUCGAAGCCCCGGUAAACGGCGGCCGUAACUAUAACGGUCCUAAGGUAGCGAAAUUCCUUGUCGGGUAAGUUCCGACCUGCACGAAUGGCGUAAUGAUGGCCAGGCUGUCUCCACCCGAGACUCAGUGAAAUUGAACUCGCUGUGAAGAUGCAGUGUACCCGCGGCAAGACGGAAAGACCCCGUGAACCUUUACUAUAGCUUGACACUGAACAUUGAGCCUUGAUGUGUAGGAUAGGUGGGAGGCUUUGAAGUGUGGACGCCAGUCUGCAUGGAGCCGACCUUGAAAUACCACCCUUUAAUGUUUGAUGUUCUAACGUUGGCCCCUGAUCGGGGUUGCGGACAGUGUCUGGUGGGUAGUUUGACUGGGGCGGUCUCCUCCUAAAGAGUAACGGAGGAGCACGAAGGUUGGCUAAUCCUGGUCGGACAUCAGGAGGUUAGUGCAAUGGCAUAAGCCAGCUUGACUGCGAGCGUGACGGCGCGAGCAGGUGCGAAAGCAGGUCAUAGUGAUCCGGUGGUUCUGAAUGGAAGGGCCAUCGCUCAACGGAUAAAAGGUACUCCGGGGAUAACAGGCUGAUACCGCCCAAGAGUUCAUAUCGACGGCGGUGUUUGGCACCUCGAUGUCGGCUCAUCACAUCCUGGGGCUGAAGUAGGUCCCAAGGGUAUGGCUGUUCGCCAUUUAAAGUGGUACGCGAGCUGGGUUUAGAACGUCGUGAGACAGUUCGGUCCCUAUCUGCCGUGGGCGCUGGAGAACUGAGGGGGGCUGCUCCUAGUACGAGAGGACCGGAGUGGACGCAUCACUGGUGUUCGGGUUGUCAUGCCAAUGGCACUGCCCGGUAGCUAAAUGCGGAAGAGAUAAGUGCUGAAAGCAUCUAAGCACGAAACUUGCCCCGAGAUGAGUUCUCCCUGACCCUUUAAGGGUCCUGAAGGAACGUUGAAGACGACGACGUUGAUAGGCCGGGUGUGUAAGCGCAGCGAUGCGUUGAGCUAACCGGUACUAAUGAACCGUGAGGCUUAACCUU